rnacentral:rRNA from 1 species
CGGUAACAGGAUAGCUUGCUAUCGCUGACGAGUGGCGGACGGGUGAGUAAUACUUAGGGAUCUGCCUCUGUGUGGGGGAUAGCUAUUGGAAACGAUAGCUAAUACCGCAUAAUGUCUACGGACCAAAGCGGGCUUCGGCUCGUGCGCAGAGAGGAACCUAAGCGAGAUUAGCUAGUUGGUGAGGUAAAGGCUCACCAAGGCGACGAUCUCUAGCUGUUCUGAGAGGAAGAUCAGCCACACUGGAACUGAGACACGGUCCAGACUCCUACGGGAGGCAGCAGUGGGGAAUAUUACACAAUGGGGGAAACCCUGAUGCAGCCAUGCCGCGUGUGUGAAGAAGGCCUUCGGGUUGUAAAGCACUUUCAGUUGUGAGGAAAGUUUAGUAGUUAAUACCUGCUAGAUGUGACGUUAGCAACAGAAGAAGCACCGGCUAACUCCGUGCCAGCAGCCGCGGUAAUACGGAGGGUGCGAGCGUUAAUCGGAAUUACUGGGCGUAAAGCGCACGCAGGCGGUCUGUUAAGCUAGAUGUGAAAGCCCCGCGCUCAACGUGGGAGGGUCAUUUAGAACUGGCAGACUAGAGUCUUGGAGAGGGGAGUGGAAUUCCAGGUGUAGCGGUGAAAUGCGUAGAGAUCUGGAGGAACAUCAAUGGCGAAGGCAACUCCCUGGCCAAAGACUGACGCUCAUGUGCGAAAGUGUGGGUAGCGAACAGGAUUAGAUACCCUGGUAGUCCACACCGUAAACGCUGUCUACUAGCUGUUUGUGAAUUUAAUUCGUGAGUAGCGAAGCUAACGCGAUAAGUAGACCGCCUGGGGAGUACGGCCGCAAGGUUAAAACUCAAAUGAAUUGACGGGGGCCCGCACAAGCGGUGGAGCAUGUGGUUUAAUUCGAUGCAACGCGAAGAACCUUACCUACUCUUGACAUACUAGAAACUUUUCAGAGAUGAAUUGGUGCCUUCGGGAAUCUAGAUACAGGUGCUGCAUGGCUGUCGUCAGCUCGUGU